rnacentral:rRNA from 1 species
AGCAGCCGCGGUAAUUCCAGCUCCAAUAGCGUAUAUUAAAGUUGUUGCAGUUAAAAAGCUCGUAGUUGAAUUUCGGGGUUAGUAGGUUGGUCAUGCCUCCGGUAUGUACUGGUCUCACUGAUUCCUCCUUCCUGAUGAACCGUAAUGCCAUUAAUUUGGUGUUGCGGGGAAUUUGGACUGUUACUUUGAAAAAUUAGAGUGUUUAAAGCAAGCUAACGCUUGAAUACAUUAGCAUGGAAUAAUGAAAUAGGACGUUCGAUCCUAUUUUGUUGGUUUCUAGGAUUGACGUAAUGAUUAAUAGGGAUAGUUGGGGGCAUUAGUACUCAAUUGUCAGAGGUGAAAUUCUUGGAUUUAUUGAAGACUAACUACUGCGAAAGCAUUUGCCAAGGAUGUUUUCAUUAAUCAAGAACGAAAGUUAGGGGAUCGAAGACGAUCAGAUACCGUCGUAGU